GGUCACUCUAGGCCCCGCAGCA
rnacentral:miRNA from 8 species